rnacentral:rRNA from 1 species
AAACCGGAGGAAGGUGGGGAUGACGUCAAAUCAUCAUGCCCCUUAUGACCUGGGCUACACACGUGCUACAAUGGACGAUACAAACGGUUGCCAACUCGCGAGAGGGAGCUAAUCCGAUAAAGUCGUUCUCAGUUCGGAUUGUAGGCUGCAACUCGCCUACAUGAAGCCGGAAUCGCUAGUAAUCGCGGAUCAGCAUGCCGCGGUGAAUACGUUCCCGGGCCUUGUACACACCGCCCGUCACACCACGAGAGUUUGUAACACCCGAAGUCGGUGAGGUAACCUUUUGGAGCCAGCCGCCGAAGGUGGGAUAGAUGAUUGGGGUGAAGUCGUAACAAGGUAGCCGUAUCGGAAGGUGCGGCUGGAUCACCUCCUUUCUAAGGA